rnacentral:rRNA from 1 species
AUUGAACGCUGGCGGCAGGCUUAACACAUGCAAGUCGAACGAGCGGCGGACGGGUGUGUAAUGUCUGGGAAACUGCCUGAUGGAGGGGGAUAACUACUGGAAACGGUAGCUAAUCCCGCAUACCAUCAGAUGUGCCCCGCUGGGAUUAGCUAGUAGGUGGGGGAAUGGCUCACCGAGGAGACGAUGCCUAGCUGGUCUGAGAGGAUGACCAGCCACACUGGAACUGAGACACGGUCCAGACUCCUACGGGAGGCAGCAGUGGGGAAUAUUGCACAAUGGGCGCAAGCCUGAUGCAGCCAUGCCGCGUGUGUGAAGAAGGCCUUCGGGUUGUAAAGCACUUUCAGCGAGGAGGCGUUACUCGCAGAAGAAGCACCGGCUAACUCCGUGCCAGCAGCCGCGGUAAUUC